UACGUAGGGGGCGAGCGUUGUCCGGAGUUACUGGGCGUAAAGGGCAUGCAGGCGGUCGGACGCGUUUUGUGUGACAGCGGGUGGCUCAACUACCCGAGCAUGCAAAAGACGGUCGGACUUGAGGACUCGAGAGGGACACGGAAUUCCGGGUGGAGUGGUGAAAUGCGUAGAGAUCCGGAGGAACACCGAAGGCGAAGGCAGUGUCCUGGCGAGUGACUGACGCUGAGGUGCGAAAGCCAGGGGAGCGAACGGG
rnacentral:rRNA from 1 species